AUCUUUGCGCUUGGGGCAAUGACGCAACUAGUGAAGUUCUAACCGAGGCGCGUCUAUUGCUUGUUGAAAACUAUUUCCAAACAUCGAAAACAAAAUCUAAUAUUUAAAUAAUAAAAUA
rfam:Cucumis sativus cultivar 9930 chromosome 4, whole genome shotgun sequence.